UCCGUCACAAAUAUCCGACGACCUUGGUGUCCGUCGGAACCUCCGUCGGAAUUCGGUGUGUUUUCUUGUAGUGUAAUAUCCCAAUUUAGUUUAUAAGAAUGUUAAUGUUACAAAACGAGACGACGAUCGCAAGAAGAACACAAAUACCUACUCUUGAUCUGACGACAUCAAACAUUUGCACUUUACCUCCAGAGUAAGGACACUACCCAGGUGCUUGUUGUCUCCUUAACGAUGUCUAUUCAUCAUCUCAUAAACACACCAGACACAUCUAAAUUGGAUUUAGAAACUCUGGCCUAUAUACAGCAGCAGUUUCUUCAAAUAUAUUUAUGGUUUUCUUUUUAUUUUACUACUAUCAACGCGUCUUUGUUUUUCAAUAUGGAAGUUUUAUAGUUAUAUUAGGACAUGUGUUAUUCUACCUUACUUACCAAAUUAAAAGGGCGAAAGAUCAUGCGACGUGAUCAUUUAUGUCUAUGAAACGAAGUGCUUUGAAUACUAGUGCUUGUAUGAAGUUAAUUGUUUGUAAAGAAAAGAAUAUAAGUUUUCUUAAAGUUAAGUUAACGGUUAGAUAUCUUAUUAUAUAAAUGUUUGCCUCAUUCCUAUGCUGCCACCUAGGAUCCAGGUCAGAAAGCCGUUUUUUGAGGAGAUGACACGUGUCCAGGGAAAUGAAACUCUGAGUUUCAUUAAUUCUGAAAUCAGAUGGGCUUGGCAAUCGGAUGGGAUUAUUUCUACAAAACUUAAAUUUUUUUAUGGGCUGUGUAUUCGAGAAUGGUCCAUUGUCGGCAAAUCCAAAUGUCAUCAUCGUCUCCUCGCAUACCCUAUCUUCCAGAGAGUCUUAGCAAACACCUCAUUCAACUGAUCAAAUAAAGCUUCAUGAUUACGACAACAAACUUAAGUCUCCCACUAAAGGAUGCAGUAAAUUAUCCAGCCCCACCGUCUUUGCGUUUCUCAGAAUUAUACUUAUAAAUACGGAUGUCGACUUCCAUGACUCUCACCACUGCAAUCUGUUUACAGUAAUGACCCGUUCUGGGAAGCGCAAAACGUAAAAAAAAUGGAAAAUGCUAAUCAGCGCCGCCAUGCUCACGAACGACAAGAUGAAGUUUGGGCUGAGUUAGUGACGUAACCGUUGCCAACCAACACGCCACUGAGACAUCGCUGACGAUGUCUUCGUUGUUUCCGAACAGGGACGAGAGGAGAGAGAGGUAUAUCUGAUGCCCGUCGCUGCCGAGAGGUGGGAACCAGUGGAUCGCCGGCGGAGACGGAGUGGAUUUUGCGGCUGUGUAGAGUUCGUUUAGAACUAGGCCGUUAAAGAUUGAGAGGACAAAAGACGAUAAGAUUUGAUUUUGUGUUAGGAUAUUUCAGAAAAAGCUCUUAAAUAAAAACGUAAACAAAUCAACUUAUGAACCAUUUAAAAAAAGAUUGGGUCUUAUAUUGGGUAAGUUAUGCGAGAGAGAUAAAAAACCCAUUUCCAGGUUUAUGUCCACAUAUGUAAUAUACUUGAUUAUGCUUGGAUUUAAACUUGAUUUCUAAACGUUA